GCCUGCAGCCUUGUGUGCUCCACAUCAUGGAAAACAAUGCAACGGGUGGGCUGGUCCCAGCUUGCAUGCAACUCUUCCAUGACCAUCAUCUUACUGAUGAUACUGUGGGUCAGAGUUUCUGAAAGGUCAAACAUUUUGGUAAGCUGGUCCAAGCUCAGAGUAUUAUAGGAUAAUGAGUAGGUAAAAAGGUAGGUCCUCAGAGCCUCUUCCUUUAUCUUCGCCCUCAGCAUCUCAAGGACAUCCUCACGGUUCCUGAGGAGCUUCCAAAAAUCAAGGGACUUGAUAACAUCAAAGGCUUUCUGGAAGUCCCCCUUGCUAAGGGCCCUGGUGGCAGCCAUUAC
rnacentral:lncRNA from 1 species